AAUAGAUACCCAGGUAGUCCACGCCGUAAACGAUGUCGACUUGGAGGUUGUUCCCUUGAGGAGUGGCUUCCGGAGCUAACGCGUUAAGUCGACCGCCUGGGGAGUACGGCCGCAAGGUUAAAACUCAAAUGAAUUGACGGGGGCCCGCACAAGCGGUGGAGCAUGUGGUUUAAUUCGAUGCAACGCGAAGAACCUUACCUACUCUUGACAUCCAGAGAACUUAGCAGAGAUGUCUUUGGUGCCGUUCGGGAACUCUGAGACAGGUGCUGCAUGGCUGUCGUCAGCUCGUGUUGUGAAUGUUGGGUUAAGUCCCGCAACGAGCGCAACCUUAUCCUUGUUGCCAGCGGUUCGGCCGGGAACUCAAAGGAGACUGCCAGUGAUAAACUGGAGGAAGGUGGGGAUGACGUCAAGUCAUCAUGGCCCUUACGAGUAGGGCUACACACGUGCUACAAUGGCGUAUACAAAGAGAAGCGACCUCGCGAGAGCAAGCGGACCUCAUAAAGUACGUCGUAGUCCGGAUUGGAGUCUGC
rnacentral:rRNA from 1 species